GACGAACGCUGGCGGCGUGCUUAACACAUGCAAGUCGAACGGAAAGGCCUCUUUCGGGGGGUACUCGAGUGGCGAACGGGUGAGUAACACGUGAUUAACCUGCCCUUGACUUUGGGAUAACUUCAGGAAACUGGGGCUAAUACCGGAUAUGAGCUCCUGCUGCAUGGUGGGGGUUGGACAGUUUCGGCGGUUGGGGAUGGACUCGCGGCUUAUCAGCUUGUUGGUGGGGUAGUGGCUUACCAAGGCUUUGACGGGUAGCCGGCCUGAGAGGGUGACCGGCCACAUUGGGACUGAGAUACGGCCCAGACGCCUACGGGAGGCAGCAGGGGGGAAGAUUGCACAAUGGGUGGAAGCCUGAUGCAGCAACGCCGUGUGCGGGAUGACGGCCUUCGGGUUGUAAAACGCUUUCGCUCAUGACGAAGCUUUGUGUGACGGUAGUGGGUAAAGAAGCACCGGCUAACUACGUG
rnacentral:rRNA from 1 species